AUAAAUUUUAUCUGCAAACUACGAUAUAAAGCUUGGCAUAACCAUUUGGAGAUUAUCUAUUAAUCUGAAGUCCAACUCCUAAAUUAAUUACACAAUAUUCUGAAUCAAAUAUGCAUCCAAAAAGAAGUUAAGAGGUUUAAUUUGUCCCGUAGAAAUCAACUAAACAAAUAUGUAUAUUUUUCAUUCAACUGUUAUUAUUUUAUUUCAAAUAAUUAUAAAAAAAGUGCUUUAUGUUUCAUAUUGAAUUUACUCCCAUUCAUACACUAACGCAAAAGUUGGAUUUUUAAAUUGAUUGCAGAACUUAAUAUAAUUUUUUCUUCAAAUUAGAAGACAUAGCAAAAGGAAAAAAAAUAGCUGUACGCAAGCACCCAACGGUUUGGAUCUAAGCUCACCAAAUCACUAAUGAUCUAAGUCAUAGAUUCUCAACCUGUUUAACGUUGCCACCCCCUUAAUAAGCAAAAAACAUGUCAACGCCCCCCUUUGUGGUAAUCCAGUUAUUUAGAGCAUGAGGGCGGUGGGGUUGCGCUGAAUUAUAAGAUGCAUUUUUAGGCAAUUUUUUAAACGUUAAAUUUGCUUGUUUUUUUUUAAAAAUUUAAUGUGCACGUUAACUCGAUAAUUUUCUCCAGGCAGGUAAUCACAGUCUAUUUGUGAUAAUAAAAAUAAAUACGGUAAUGAAAAAAAUAGUACAACAAAGAAAACUAUACUUAAAAAGAGUCACCUGUUCUUAAUUAGAUAAUUAAAAAAACACCCAAAAAUAAAAGUAGUAUUAACGAAACAAUCAAGUUACUAUGUCAGUGGAAUGAUUGUACUUGAUGGUUCAUAACCAAUUUCUUAACGUUCGGCUCAAUAUUUUUGCUGAGGUGAAGUCGCAAGUUCCCUCGUUGCAUCAUUUCGUGUCUAUUUCUCUUUAUUGUGACUUGAUCCAUAACAGCACUGAAUCCACGUUCGACGAAGUAGGAGAAAGGGAAGGAAAUUGAAAAUAAUUUUGAAAAUAAGAAUGAAUUUUGACAGUCCAGAGUAGAGGCAACUGAUGUUACCUUGAAUCCAAAAUUCUGUGAGUUAUCACCAUUUCAAAGCUUCAUUAGUUGAAAGUUUGACCGAUUCCUCCUGAAUCUGAACCUCUUCUGUUUCAAUAUUCAAAAAAGGGUUAAUAACCCAUUGAAGGAAACAGAACAAAACAUAUUUAUAACGGUCAGAAAAGUCCAUGUGCAAAGAGUCAAGAUGUUAACUAUAUUCUUGGGAGGAACAUCAGAGGAAAUUUCGCCAUUCUUUUCAAGAUACGAUAAGAUUUGAAAUUGUUUUUUUAGAAAUGUAGAAAUAACUGAUUUCGUAGGGAUCAAAUUGAGUUUGUCACCUUGAAGUUGCAAAUUAACACCAUUUAAUUUUGCAAGUAAAUCCACCAACGUCUAUCUUAAAUUCUAGCAAUCUGUCUCUCAGAGCUACAUUCUGUCUUCGAGGAACUCAAGCACAGAGUCGAAAAGAUUCAAGAACCUAUUGAGACAAGGCUCCUUUGGAAAGCCAGCGAAUCACGGUGUAGUAGCAAGCGAUAUUCUUCAUAGUUUUUCUUAGACAGCUGUCUGAGUAAUCAAUCGUUGAGAACAUUACUGCGAAUUUUGUUCGCAGCAGAUAUAACAUAUUGCAAUGACUGAUGCAAACGGUCGCUGAGGUUUUUUCUUAUUAAAUACUGUCUGUGAAUCACGCAGUGAACUGCUAAAAUAUCUGGUACCACCCUCUUCAAAACGGCGAAAAACCCACCAUGUCGACCCACUAUUGCAAGGGAUAUUUUUGAUUAAAUCGGAUGAGGCUGGAUAGUGUAAAACUGUUCCUAAAACUUCCUUAACAGCCGGCAGUAUCAAUUCUUUGCCGAUGGUAUGACAUUUCCCAGAUUUAGCAAUUAAUUUUGAUAUAUUAUAAGAACUUAUCAAACCAUCAUCGCAUUUUUGUGAUUAGGUUGUCAGUAAGCCUGAGGCCAAAGGUGCCUUCAGAAACUUGUCUUUGAUAUUCGUGAAAAAUGACAAAUCUUUAUUUUGUUUGUGAGGAUGAAUAUUUUGCAAAUGCUUCUGCUAACGAGAAGGCUCCAUUGUCUCAUUAUAUUAAACUUUGUUAUAAAAUAAAUUCAUGGGUAGUUGAGAGUUCGAGGGCGAUUGAACAAAUCUAAACUUCAAGUACGUGACACUGUAUUGAAUACACUUCUUUAUGUUAACCGACAUUGUUGGUGGCAGCAAAAUACGAAUGAAAGAAAAUCAACUGUUUUUUCAAAUUAAUAAAUAAUUUACGAUUAAGAACUAAUUCACAAACGUACCUGGCCAAAUAAACAAUGAAAUCGAAUCGAAACUGGGUAAAAAACUGCUAGGAAGCAAACUAAACCAUCAUAAGAAACACGGGUCAAAUCGAACAUUUUUACAAAAAGCGCAUGCACUUUAAUUCUCACCAAAUGGCUGAAAUGAGUCAGAGGCAAAAA